UACAGAGGGUGCGAGCGUUAAUCGGAAUCACUGGGCGUAAAGCGCACGUAGGCGGCUUUUUAAGUCAGGGGUGAAAUCCUGGAGCUCAACUCCAGAACUGCCUUUGAUACUGAGAAGCUUGAGUCCGGAAGAGGUGAGUGGAACUCCGAGUGUAGAGGUGAAAUUCGUAGAUAUUCGGAAGAACACCAGUGGCGAAGGCGGCUCACUGGUCCGGUACUGACGCUGAGGUGCGAAAGCGUGGGGAGCAAACAGG
rnacentral:rRNA from 1 species